rnacentral:other from 1 species
ACAGCCCUGCUGUGUACGUGAAUAGCCGCAUAGUUUUUGCCAACACAGAAACUUCGGGAGCCCGUACUUCGUUUCCGUAUUGCAUGCCCAUAUUACUGGGACACAAAAAGGAUGCGAGAGGACACCCACCUGCUUUGCAGGUUAAAACUCGCGGCACCACGGCUCGGUGGGGUUUUU